CCCUUAGAUGUUCUGGGCCGCACGCGCGCUACACUGACGAUGGCAACGAGUUUUUCCUUCGCCGAAAGGUGUGGGUAAUCUUUUGAAACAUCGUCGUGCUGGGGAUAGAUCAUUGCAAUUUUUGAUCUUGAACGCGGAAUUCCUAGUAAGCGCGAGUCAUCAGCUCGCGUUGAUUACGUCCCUGCCCUUUGUACACACCGCCCGUCGCUACUACCGAUUGAAUGGUUUAGUGAGGACUCCUGAUUGGCGCCGCCGCCCCGGCAACGGAGCAGCGGACUGCCGAAAAGUUGUUCAAACUUGAUCAUUUAGAGGAAGUAAAAGUCGUAACA
rnacentral:rRNA from 1 species